CGGGGCGGCCACGCCUGGGAGCAUCAUGGCGGCCUCCCCGGUGCGCUCUUGCCGCCGCCUGUUGGGACUGCGCUCCAGGGCUGCUGACUCCGGUGGGAGUGGCUGCCCCGCGGGUUUCAGCGGAUUCGGUAGAGACGAUUUGUUCGUUGCUGCUUACUGCCUCGUCCAACACCGGCGAACGAAUGUGUGGGGCCAAGAUGAGAAAGUACGAGGAAAGGAAGGCCGGGUCUUGGUAUCCCGCCUUCCUGACCGAAGAGCCUGUUUCCCUCCUUGGGUUGACUUUGAUUUGCUCUGUAAUUUCCUUUAUCAAGAGCUUCAUUUUGAAAUGGAUCUAACCUUGAGUACCUCCUCAUCACUUUCCUAUAUUAGUCAGUCUGACUUCAGAGAGGCACAUUUACAGGAGGUAAGAAGGGGGAACAAGAUGGAUACUGAAGGACAGUGAAGCACAUCAGCCUCAGGGGAGCUGAUUUUUACUCAAGAUCUUUUUACCCAAGUGUGUCUGUGACCUAAAAAUAAGAUUUUAUAUUAUUAUUAAACAAGCAUUUAAACCUGCAAUGUCUCCCAUUUCUAAAAGUUAUUGUUGUUUCUACACUUAUGCAUAUUAUGCUAUAGAGUACCUUCAGCUUUCAAACUUCCUCAUUCAUCACUAAUUUAUUUAGCAAAUUGUUCUAAACACUUUUUAUGUGCCAAGCAUUAAAUUAGGCAUUGGGAUACAGAUAACAAGAGGAUAAGGUUCUUGAUUUCAAUAAGCUCAUACACUGAUUGGAGACAAAAAUUAGUUAAACCAUUCAUUGGAGCAUUCAAAAUCAGACUAGAGUGGGGAGGGUGAUAGGUAAUAAAGGAGCAAACUUUCAGAGGAGAUAAUGUGGU
rnacentral:lncRNA from 1 species